GAUAAACGCUGGCGGCGUGCCUAACACAUGCAAGUCGAACGCCCUUUUGCGCAAGUGAGAGGGAGUGGCGGACGGGUGAGUAGCACGUGGGUACCUACCCCAAGAUGAGGAAUACCACCGAGAAAUCGGUGACAAGACCGCAUACCUUCGGCCACGAAGAAAGCUUCUCCUCACGAGAGGCGUCUUGGGAUGGGCCUGCGCCUGAUUAGCUGGUUGGUGAGGUAACAGCNCACCAAGGCGACGAUCAGUAGCUGGUCUGAGAGGAUGAUCAGCCACACUGGGAUUGAGAACGGCCCAGACUCCUACGGGGGGCAGCAGUGAGGAAUUUUCGUCAAUGGGGGCAACCCUGAACGAGCAACGCCGCGUGCAGGAUGACUACUUUUCGGAGCGUAAACUGUCUUUUCUUCAGGAAGAGAACGGACGGUACUGAAGGAAGA
rnacentral:rRNA from 1 species